rnacentral:piRNA from 1 species
UCUCAGGAAUGCCAAAUGUAAACAGAC